UACGGAAGGCAGCAGUGGGGAAUAUUGCACAAUGGGCGCAAGCCUGAUGCAGCCAUGCCGCGUGUAUGAAGAAGGCCUUCGGGUUGUAAAGUACUUUCAGCGGGGAGGAAGGCGAUGCGGUUAAUAACCGCGUCGAUUGACGUUACCCGCAGAAGAAGCACCGGCUAACUCCGUGCCAGCAGCCGCGGUAAUACGGAGGGUGCAAGCGUUAAUCGGAAUUACUGGGCGUUAAAGCGCACGCAGGCGGUCUGUUAAGUCAGAUGUGAAAUCCCCGGGCUUAACCUGGGAACUGCAUUUUGAAACUGGCAGGCUUGAGUCUUGUAGAGGGGGUAGAAUUCCAGGUGUAGCGGUGAAAUGCGUAGAGAUCUGGAGGAAUACCGGUGGCGAAGGCGGCCCCUGGGACAAAGACUGACGCUCAGGGUGCGAAAGCGUGGGGAGCAAACGAGGAUUAGGAUACC
rnacentral:rRNA from 1 species